GACCACAUAGCACAGUGGGGUCUAGUGCAUUUGAGUUCAGAUCAAAAGGUCUUGUAUUCGACUCCCAUUGUGGUCG
rnacentral:tRNA from 1 species